GCGGACGUGGUGGAAUGGUAGACACGCCGGUCUUAGGAACCUGUGGGGCAACCCGUGGGAGUUCGAAUCUCCCCGUCCGCA
rfam:Gloeobacter violaceus PCC 7421 DNA, complete genome.